rnacentral:rRNA from 1 species
AGUGAACGCUGGCGGUAGGCCUAACACAUGCAAGUCGAACGGCAGCACAGUAAGAGCUUGCUCUUACGGGUGGCGAGUGGCGGACGGGUGAGGAAUACAUCGGAAUCUACUUUUUCGUGGGGGAUAACGUAGGGAAACUUACGCUAAUACCGCAUACGACCUACGGGUGAAAGAAGGGGAUCUUCGGACCUUGCGUGAUUGAAUGAGCCGAUGUCGGAUUAGCUAGUUGGCGGGGUAAAGGCCCACCAAGGCGACGAUCCGUAGCUGGUCUGAGAGGAUGAUCAGCCACACUGGAACUGAGACACGGUCCAGACUCCUACGGGAGGCAGCAGUGGGGAAUAUUGGACAAUGGGCGCAAGCCUGAUCCAGCCAUACCGCGUGGGUGAAGAAGGCCUUCGGGUUGUAAAGCCCUUUUGUUGGGAAAGAAAAGCAGCAGGUUAAUACCCCGCUGUUCUGACGGUACCCAAAGAAUAAGCACCGGCUAACUUCGUG